UACAGAGGAGCCAAGCGUUGUCCGGAUUGACUGGGCGUAAAGCGCACGCAGGCGGUUGCGCGCGUGGGGUGUGAAAUCUGGCCGCUUAACGGCCAGGCGCCAUCCCAUACGGCGCGACUGGAGCGAUGCAGAGGUCGGUGGAAUUGCCGGUGUAGUGGUGAAAUGCGUAGAGAUCGGCAGGAACACCCCAGGGGGGAAAACCAGCCGACUGGGCAUCUGCUGACGCUGAUGUGCGAGAGCGUGGGGAGCGAACAGG
rnacentral:rRNA from 1 species